UUUCUCUGCCUCUGUGGUGGAUAGUGGAGUGUUUCCCAUGUGGUAUUGGUGUGCUGGAUAUCCCUUCACUGGUAGCCUGGUAACAUACACUUCCAGGUCUUUCUCUGCCUCUGUGGUGGAUAGUGGAGUGUUUCCCAUGUGGUAUUGGUGUGCUGGAUAUCCCUUCACUGGUAGCCUGGUAACAUACACUCCCAGGUCUUUCUCUGCCUCUGUGGUGGAUAGUGGAGUGUUUCCCAUGUGGUAUUGGUGUGCUGGAUAUCCCUUCACUGGUAGCCUGGAAACAUACACUCCCAGGUCUUUCUCUGCCUCUGUGGUGGAUAGUGGAGUGUUUCCCAUGUGGUAUUGGUGUGCUGGAUAUCCCUUCACUGGUAGCCUGGUAACAUACACUCCCAGGUCUUUCUCUGCCUCUGUGGUGGAUAGUGGAGUGUUUCACAUGUGGUAUUGGUGUGCUGGAUAUCCCUUCACUGGUAGCCUGGUAACAUACACUCCCAGGUCUUUCUCUGCCUCUGUGGUGGAUAGUGGAGUGUUUCCCAUGUGGUAUUGGUGUGCUGGAUAUCCCCCUCCCAAGGUGCAUGACUUUACGUUUUUCUUUAUUGAAUUGUAGCAGCCACUUUUUGUUCCCUUCC